GGACCAUGGCUCAGUGGUAGAGCAUCUGCUUGGCAUACAGAAGGCCCCAGGUUCAAUCUCUGGCAUCUCCA
rnacentral:tRNA from 1 species